CAUACCCCCCACUCACAGCCCUCAGCUCCCUCCAGCACCUCCUGCCUUAUUCAGGCACUCAAGGGCACACAGGUGCCCACUUGCUGGAAUCCCCACUCCCUGCCAACCCUCUGAGCCCCCCCCCCAACCGGCUCUCCCGGGGAGCCCUCUCCCCGCCUCAGAGCCAGUCUGUCUCCUCCUUCCUUCCGCCCCUGGGGGGAACGUCUUUCUGGCAAAAAAACUCCCCAAAAAUGGCUCUCCUGGCAUUUCUAAUUAAAGGUAAGUGGGCGGACAGAGAAGGGAGGGCGGAGGGGCACCGCUGAGCUGGGAGGGGGAGCCAGGCAGAGAAGACUCCAGCACAGAGACCUUCCCGCUUCUCCACUGCGGAAUCCCGGGGAGAGGAGCUGGGUGGGUACAUGCGGGACGGGCAGAUGCCAGCAGCCUUGGGUGAGUGCAGCCGGCGGUCACCGAGGGCCACAUGUCUGGGUUGGGACCAGCAUGAGCCUAUAAGUGUUGUCUGGGUACUGGGCACUGACCGUGCAUGUGUGUCCAUUGUGAGAGCCAGCACUUCAAUGACCAGGGGCCAGCCCCGCCAGGGUUUACAAGCCCAUGUGGCUCCUGACGUCCCUGCCAGGGCACAGCCUCCAGCUGCCACCCCCACCAGAGGCAUUGGCAAGCUGACAAGGAGGCAGGACUGGGGACACGUGAGCCAAGGUCACAGGUGGUGCCGCUGCCUCAGUUCCCUCACCUGCGUGGAGGGAGCCAGGCCCAGAGAAGGGUGAGUGCCCAAGGUGGCCUGGUGAGCAAGGCAGGGCUGGGCAGGAGCCAGGCCCUUGGUGAGGAAUCCUGGUGUCCUCUGCUCAGUGCCCCGUGGCCCCUCACCACCCCUGUCACCUGCUAAACAGCAAGCCAGCAAUGGCCAAGCCGACACCGGUGGGAGAGCACAGUGCCUGCCCUGGAUGGCACGAGGGCAGGCAGCGUCGGGGGUACCACGCGGAGCCCCAUCUUCCCCUCCCCAACUCCCUACAGCAGGGUCUGCAGAGGCUGUGAAUGCAGGCCUGAGCUGACAGGUGACAGGCAACAGCCGCAGCUGCCAGGAACACUUAAUCGCUGCCCAAUUAUCGCCCCAGAAGCCCUCACCAAACCCCCGCACUGCAGCCUCGGGAAAGGAGGCCAGGCUGGCUCCCAUCCACCUGGGGCGGGGGCCUCUCCUGACAGGGGCCUGCCCUGCCCCUCUCUCCAGCCCACCCCCACCCCCUGCCCAUCCCUGACAGCCACUGGAGCAGCAUAGCUUGGGGGUGCAGGUGGGGGAAGGAACAGGGGGAGGGGGUGGGGCUAGACCUGCACAAGGGGGUCGGGAGCACCUGGGGUACCCCCACUCUCAAAGCCAACCCGGUCUGCUGCCGCACAGGUCUGACAGCUCUGAGGUCCCACCUGCCUGAGAGGAGGGGUCCUGCAGGGGAGGGUGGGGUAGCCCGUGACCCCCAGGUUCUGUUCACGGUUGAGAUCACAGGCUCACAGCAGCCUCGAAGGACCUCUUAGUGCUGGUUCCUGAACCCCUGCCACCUAGGUUCCCAGAGGUGUGCGGGUACCUGCUCUGAGAGGCAGGGGCCACCCUGUGCCCUGGGCCUCCCUUCUCCUUCUGCGGUGCCCAGCCGCCUCUGCUCCUGCCUGAUCAGAGCGAAGGGAGUCGGCUCUCUCCCUGCAGCCCCAGACGGUCUCAGCCCUGGCUGACCCACUCCGGCAGGGCCUUUCUGGGUUGCCAGGAGCGUUCACAGGGCAGCUGCUGACCUGGGGCAUCCUGCUGCUCCCCUAGGCUGGCCCUGCUGAUCUCGGGUGCCGGCAGUUAGUGCUACUCAGCAGGGAGAGGCAAACACAGGCCCCUCCAGGCCAGAGCUCACACCCACCCUCACUCACACACAUGCGCAAACACAUGGGCACACGCAGAGGCACACACCUCCCCCAUCUCCCCUGCCUCCAGGCUCUGUCCUCUUUGGAAACAGCCCAGAGGGCCCCCAACUCUGCCUAGGCCCCCCACACCACUGUCUUCAUAAAGGCCCUUCCUCGCCUGCCCACUGCUGGCCGCACACACCUGCCCACCCCACCCUUUGCACACAUUCCGGGGCUCCUGCUGCCCUUCUGUGUGGGCCACGUGGAGUGAGGAGCCGGCAGCAGAGAAGGAAUGCGGCGGUCCCAGGGGUUGGUUCGGACACCCGCCCCCCACAUGUGACCACUCCCCAGCCUUGUGGCUUCAUCUGUCACCACCUACUGCCCUGUGGGGCUGGAAGAGAAGAACCAGGCUGCCCUAUGCCCUCAGGGUGCCUACUGCUGGCCCAAGCUGUGUGGCCAGACCUGGAGGCCAGCCUCUCAGCCACCUGCUCCCACCGGGUGUCCCUUGCUGUCCAGCCCAGGACUCCACAGGCUGCAGGAGCUGCUGACCUCUGACCUCGCUGGGCUCACAGGCCAGACUCCCACCCCAGCCAGCCUGGCCCAGAUGCACAGGCGUCCCUUCGGGGCAGGUGGGGUCACGAGAGCCCAGGCCUCCACCGACCACGGGCAGACAAGGGACAUGCGCUCCUCACCACCGCCACCCCAGCCGUGCACAGAAGGGGAAAUCGAGGUCCAGAGAGGGCCAGGGAUUAGCCCAAGCCACACAGCAAGGACGGCCAGAGCCAGGGCAGGAAGUGAGUUCCCUAAGCCCCCACGCCCUCUCUGGCCUCAGUUUCCUCGCUGAGGAAGUGCUCCAAGGUAGCUCCAGCUCUGCCCUGCCCAGUCGGUGGGGUGAUCAGUCAUUCCGUCAACAAAAGUUUCCAAGACAGCCUUGGCAGGGGACAGAGUGGACCAAAUGGAGGCUGAGGUCCUUCUCAGCUUGGGCAGUGUGGCAGAGAGUGAGGAAGAGCCCAUGGGCCCUGGAUCACCAGCCUCCCUCCACACAGAACGCCCCGUCCACUCCACUGCCCACCACCCCCUGUUCAACUGACAAACAUUCCAGUGUUAACACCUAAGCAUAAAGAGUCGGCUUUGCCGUAA